GUGCUCGCUUUGGCACCACAUAUACUAAAAUUGGAACAAUACAGAGAAGCUUAGCAUGGCCUCUGCGCAAAAAUAAAAUUAAAAAAUAGGCCUCUUCAGCCUUG
rnacentral:snRNA from 1 species